GUGUACGUCCAUGCUACCCUGAACAAGCCCCAUGUCUGAUCUCGGAAGCUAAGCAGGGUCGAGCCUGGUUAGUACUUGGAUGGGAGACCACCUAGGAAGAUCGGGUGCUGUAGGCG
rnacentral:rRNA from 1 species